rnacentral:rRNA from 1 species
UAAUACGAAGGGGGCUAGCGUUACUCGGAAUGACUGGGCGUAAAGGGCGCGUAGGCGGUUUGUUUAGUUAGGCGUGAAAUUCCUGGGCUCAACCUGGGGGCUGCGCUUAAUACAGGCAGACUAGAGUGUGAAAGAGGGUCGUGGAAUUUCCAGUGUAGAGGUGAAAUUCGUAGAUAUUGGAAAGAACACCGGUGGCGAAGGCGGCGACCUGGUUCAUUACUGACGCUGAGGCGCGAAAGCGUGGGGAGCAAACAGGAUUAGAUACCCUGGUAGUCCACGCCGUAAACGAUGUGUGCUGGAUGUUAGGUAACCUAGUUACUUAGUGUCGUAGCUAACGCGGUAAGCACACCGCCUGGGGAGUACGGCCGCAAGGUUG